AGAGUUUGAUCCUGGCUCAGAAUCAACGCUGGCGGCGUGCCUAACACAUGCAAGUCGAACGAGAAAGUGGUAGCAAUACCAUGAGUAAAGUGGCGCACGGGUGAGUAACACGUGACUAACCUACCCUGGAGUGGGGGAUAACUGAGGGAAACCUUAGCUAAUACCGCAUAAUACCCACGGGUCAAAGGAGCAAUUCGCUCUGGGAGGGGGUCGCGGCCGAUUAGUUAGUUGGCGGGGUAACGGCCCACCAAGACGAUGAUCGGUAUCCGGCCUGAGAGGGCGCACGGACACACUGGAACUGAAACACGGUCCAGACUCCUACGGGAGGCAGCAGUGGGGAAUUUUGCGCAAUGGGGGAAACCCUGACGCAGCAACGCCGCGUGGAGGAUGAAGUCCUUCGGGACGUAAACUCCUUUCGAUCGGGACGAUUAUGACGGUACCGGAAGAAGAAGCCCCGGCUAACUUCGUGCCAGCAGCCGCGGUAAUACGAGGGGGGCGAGCGUUGUUCGGAAUUAUUGGGCGUAAAGGGUGCGUAGGCGGUUUGGUAAGUCUUAUGUGAAAUCUAUGGGCUCAACUCAUAGACUGCAUGAGAAACUGCCGGGCUGGAGUGUGGGAGAGGUGAGUGGAAUUUCCGGUGUAGCGGUGAAAUGCGUAGAUAUCGGAAGGAACACCUGUGGCGAAAGCGGCUCACUGGACCAUAACUGACGCUGAUGCACGAAAGCUAGGGGAGCAAACAGGAUUAGAUACCCUAGUAGUCC
rnacentral:rRNA from 1 species